GUACGGGAGGCAGCAGUGAGGAAUAUUGCACAAUGGGGGAAACCCUGAUGCAGCAACGCCGCGUGAGUGAUGAAGGCCUUCGGGUUGUAAAGCUCUGUCUUCAGGGACGAUAAUGACGGUACCUGAGGAGGAAGCCACGGCUAACUACGUGCCAGCAGCCGCGGUAAUACGUAGGUGGCAAGCGUUGUCCGGAUUUACUGGGCGUAAAGGGAGCGUAGGCGGAUAUUUAAGUGGGAUGUGAAAUACCCGGGCUUAACUUGGGUGCUGCAUUCCAAACUGGAUAUCUGGAGUGUUGGAGAGGAAAGUGGAAUUCCUAGUGUAGCGGUGAAAUGCGUAGAGAUUAGGAAGAACACCAGUGGCGAAGGCGACUUUCUGGACAAUAACUGACGCUGAGGCUCGAAAGCGUGGGGAGCAAACAGGAUUAGAUACCCCGGUAGG
rnacentral:rRNA from 1 species